rnacentral:rRNA from 1 species
CUAGUACGAGAGGACCGGGAAGGACGCACCUCUGGUGUACCAGUUAUCGUGCCUACGGUAAACGCUGGGUAGCCAAGUGCGGAGAGGAUAACUGCUGAAAGCAUAUAAGUAGUAAGCCCACCCCAAGAUGAGUGCUGUCUCCUUCGACUUCCCUAGAGCCUCCGGUAUCACAGCCGAGACAGCGACGGGUUCUCCACCCAU